CCUACGGGUUGCAGCAGUGGGGAAUAUUGCACAAUGGGCGCAAGCCUGAUGCAGCCAUGCCGCGUGUAUGAAGAAGGCCUUCGGGUUGUAAAGUACUUUCAGCGGGGAGGAAGGUGUAGUGGUUAAUAACCGCAGCAAUUGACGUUAGCCGCAGAAGAAGCACCGGCUAACUCCGUGCCAGCAGCCGCGGUAAUACGGAGGGUGCAAGCGUUAAUCGGAAUUACUGGGCGUAAAGCGCACGCAGGCGGUCUGUCGGGUCGGAUGUGAAAUCCCCGGGCUCAACCUGGGAACUGCAUUCGAAACUGGCAGGCUAGAGUCUUGUAGAGGGGGGUAGAAUUCCAGGUGUAGCGGUGAAAUGCGUAGAGAUCUGGAGGAAUACCGGUGGCGAAGGCGGCCCCCUGGACAAAGACUGACGCUCAGGUGCGAAAGCGUGGGGAGCAAACAGGAUUAGAUACCCCUGUAGUC
rnacentral:rRNA from 1 species